UCCGGUUGAUCCUGCCGGAGGCUACCGCUAUUGGAGUUCGAUUAAGCCAUGCGAGUCGCGAGAAAUUAGAUUCUCGGCGUACCGCUCAGUAACACGUGGGUAACCUGCCCUAUGCUGGAUAAUAACCUCGGGAAACUGAGAAUAAUGAUCCAUAGUUCACUACGCCUGGAACGGUGAGUGGAUGAAAGCUCCGGCGGCAUAGGAUGGGCCUGCGGCGUAUCAGGUUGUAGGGGGUGUAACGUACCCUCUAGCCCUCUACGCGUACGGGUGUUGGGAGACAUAGCCCGGAGAUGGAUUCUGAGACACGAAUCCAGACCCUACGGGGUGCAGCAGGCGCGAAAACUUGGCAAUGCGAGAAAUCGUGACCAGGGAACUCCAAGUGCAUCGGGUAAGACCGGUGCUUUUCUUGACUCUAAAAAGGUCUUGGAAUAAGGGGUGGGUAAGGACGGUGCCAGCCGCCGCGGUAAUACCGGCGCCUCAAGUGGUAGUCGCUUUUAUUGGGCCUAAAACGUCCGUAGCCGGUCUGAUACAUUCGUGGGUAAAUCAACCAGCUCAACUGGUUGAAUUCUGCGAGGACGGUCAGACUUGGGACCGGGAGAGGUGUGGGGUACGCUCAGGGUAGGGGUAAAAUCCUGUCAUCCUGAGCGGACCACCUGUUGCGAAGGCGCCACACUAGAACGGAUCCGACGGUCAGGGACGAAGCCUAGGGGCACGAACCGGAUUAGAUACCCGGGUAGUCCUAGGUGUAAACGCUGUGGACUUG
rnacentral:rRNA from 1 species